CGCGGUGAAUACGUUCCCGGGUCUUGUACACACCGCCCGUCACACCAUGGGAGUCAGUAACGCCCGAAGUCAGUGACCCAACCGUAAGGAGGGAGCUGCCGAAGGUGGGGCCGAUAACUGGGGUGAAGUCGUAACAAGGUAGCCGUAUCGGAAGGUGCGGCUGGAUCACCUCCUUUCUAAGGAA
rnacentral:rRNA from 1 species